rnacentral:rRNA from 1 species
CCUACGGGAGGCAGCAGUGAGGAAUAUUGGUCAAUGGACGAGAGUCUGAACCAGCCAAGUAGCGUGAAGGAUGACUGCCCUAUGGGUUGUAAACUUCUUUUAUACGGGAAUAAAGUGAGGCACGUGUGCCUUUUUGUAUGUACCGUAUGAAUAAGGAUCGGCUAACUCCGUGCCAGCAGCCGCGGUAAUACGGAGGAUCCGAGCGUUAUCCGGAUUUAUUGGGUUUAAAGGGAGCGUAGGCGGACGCUUAAGUCAGUUGUGAAAGUUUGCGGCUCAACCGUAAAAUUGCAGUUGAUACUGGGUGUCUUGAGUACAGUAGAGGCAGGCGGAAUUCGUGGUGUAGCGGUGAAAUGCUUAGAUAUCACGAAGAACUCCGAUUGCGAAGGCAGCUUGCUGGACUGUAACUGACGCUGAUGCUCGAAAGUGUGGGUAUCAAACAGGAUUAGAUACCCUGGUAGUCCACACAGUAAACGAUAAAUACUCGCUGUUUGCGAUAUACAGUAAGCGGCCAAG